GAGGUUCGAUUAGUUUUGCGGCUUGAUUAGCGUCGGUUGCUUUUGGAAGUUCCUUGAAUCUGUGCUGAAGUAUAGGGUUUGAUGAAGUCAUUCCGUUCUGGAAGGGGCUUUUGUGAUGGAAAAUUUUCAACUUAUUCGGAGAUGAUUGUUCUGGUUUCGCUCUUCGUCGCUCGAUUGCUAAUGUCGGUUUGUGUGGAUAAAAAUCGAUUCUUUCAUCUGAAUUAUCACCCCACCCAACAUAUGGAAAACAA